AUUGAACGCUGGCGGCAGGCCUAACACAUGCAAGUCGAACGAGUGGCGGACGGGUGAGUAAAGUCUGGGAAACUGCCUGAUGGAGGGGGAUAACUACUGGAAACGGUAGCUAAUACCGCAUACCAUCAGAUGUGCCCAGUUGGGAUUAGCUAGUUGGUGGGGUAACUGCUCACCAAGGCGACGAUCCCUAGCUGGUCUGAGAGGAUGACCAGCCACACUGGAACUAAAAGACGGUCCAGGCGCCUAAGUGAGGUAGAAGUGGGGAAUAUUGCACAAGUGGCGCAAGCCUGAUGCAGCCCUGCCGGGAGUAUGAGGAAGGCCUUCGGGUUGUAAAGUACUUUCAGCAGGGAGGCGUUACCCGCAGAAGAAGCACCGGCUCACUCCGUGCCAGCGGCCGCGGUAAUAC
rnacentral:rRNA from 1 species